UACGUAGGGAGCGAGCGUUGUCCGGAAUUACUGGGUGUAAAGGGAGUGUAGGCGGGAAAACAAGUCAGAUGUGAAAACUAUGGGCUCAACCUGUAGACUGCAUUUGAAACUAUUUUUCUUGAGUGAAGUAGAGGUAAGCGGAAUUCCUAGUGUAGCGGUGAAAUGCGUAGAUAUUAGGAGGAACAUCAGUGGCGAAGGCGGCUUACUGGGCUUUUACUGACGCUGAGGCUCGAAAGCGUGGGGAGCAAACAGG
rnacentral:rRNA from 1 species